GAUGAACGCUGGCGGCGUGCCUAAUACAUGCAAGUCGAGCGAACAGACGAGGAGCUUGCUCCUCUGACGUUAGCGGCGGACGGGUGAGUAACACGUGGAUAACCUACCUAUCAGACUGGGAUAACUUCGGGAAACCGGAGCUAAUACCGGAUAAUAUAUUGAACCGCAUGGUUCAAUAGUGAAAGACGGUUUUGCUGUCACUUAUAGAUGCUUCCGCGCUGCAUUAGCUAGUUGGUAAGGUAACGGCUUACCAAGGCAACGAUGCGUAGCCGACCUGAGAGGGUGAUAGGCCACACUGGAGCGGAGACACGGUCAAGACGACUAAGGGAGGCAGCAGUAGGGAAUCUGCCGCAAUGGGCGAAAGCAUGACGGAGCAACGCCGCGUGAGUGAUGAAGGUCUUGGGAUCGUAAAACUCUGUUAUUAGGGAAGAACAAAUGUGUAAGUAAAUAUGCACGUCUUGACGGUACCGAAUCAGAAAGCAACGGCUAACUACGUG
rnacentral:rRNA from 1 species